rnacentral:rRNA from 1 species
GAUGAACGCUGGCGGCGUGCCUAAUGCAUGCAAGUCGAGCGAACGGACGAGAAGCUUGCUUAUCUGAUGUUAGCGGCGGACGGGUGAGUAACACGUGGAUAACCUACCUAUAAGACUGGGAUAACUUCGGGAAACCGGAGCUAAUACCGGAUAAUAUUUUGAACCGCAUGGUUCAAAAGUGAAAGACGGUCUUGCUGUCACUUAUAGAUGGAUCCGCGCUGCAUUAGCUAGUUGGUAAGGUAACGGCUUACCAAGGCAACGAUGCAUAGCCGACCUGAGAGGGUGAUCGGCCACACUGGAACUGAGACACGGUCCAGACUCCUACGGGAGGCAGCAGUAGGGAAUCUUCCGCAAUGGGCGAAAGCCUGACGGAGCAACGCCGCGUGAGUGAUGAAGGUCUUCGGAUCGUAAAACUCUGUUAUUAGGGAAGAACAUAUGUGUAAGUAACUGUGCACAUCUUGACGGUACCUAAUCAGAAAGCCACGGCUAACUACGUG